rnacentral:rRNA from 1 species
UACGUAGGGGGCAAGCGUUGUCCGGAAUCAUUGGGCGUAAAGAGCGUGUAGGCGGCCUGGUAAGUCCGCUGUGAAAGUCCAGGGCUCAACCCUGGAAUGCCGGUGGAAACUGUCAGGCUCGAGUCCGGAAGAGGCGAGUGGAAUUCCUGGUGUAGCGGUGAAAUGCGCAGAUAUCAGGAAGAACACCUAUGGCGAAGGCAGCUCUCUGGGACGGUACUGACGCUGAGACGCGAAAGCGUGGGGAGCGAACAGG